UUUAUGGGAAGAUAUAUGACUAUGCCAUAGAGCUAGUCAAUGGACCAAAACUAUGGGUAAACAUUGGGUAUGAACCACUAGAACCACCACCACUUAGAAGACCCCUUGGUAGACCUAAAAAGCAAAGGAGAAUAGACUUGGAAGAGCCUAAGAAUCCAUAUAGGCUAUCUAAGAAGGGGAGGAGCAAUGACUUGCUCCAAGUGUCGCAUGGUUGGUCAUAAUAAAAGAGCAUGUAAGGGUCCAUCUAUAGCUCCUACCAAC
rnacentral:lncRNA from 1 species